AACGCGAAGAACCUUACCUACCCUUGACAUGCCAGGAGCCCUGCUGAGAGGCGGGGGUGCCCGAAAGGGAACCUGGACACAGGUGCUGCAUGGCUGUCGUCAGCUCGUGUCGUGAGAUGUUGGGUUAAGUCCCGCAACGAGCGCAACCCUUGUCACUAGUUGCUACGCAAGAGCACUCUAGUGAGACUGCCGGUGACAAACCGGAGGAAGGUGGGGAUGACGUCAAGUCCUCAUGGCCCUUAUGGGUAGGGCUUCACACGUAAUACAAUGGCCGGUACAAAGGGGCGCAAGACCGCGAGGUGGAGCAAAUCCCAAAAAACCGGUCUCAGUUCGGAUUGGAGUCUGCAACUCGACUCCAUGAAGUUGGAAUCGCUAGUAAUCGCGUAUCAGCAUGACGCGGUGAAUACGUUCCCGGGUCUUGUACACACGC
rnacentral:rRNA from 1 species